GCAGAAGGCAGGAGGAGGGAGGGGAGGAGGGGGAGGGAGGGAGAGAGGGAAUCCAGCUACCACCACCCAAAGCCAGCGUCUGCUUUCUGUCCUCAUUUCCUUUUCCCACCCAGCUUGGAGAGCAGAGAAAGGCAGAGAGAGCGAGAAAUAGAGACAGUCUGAGAGACAGACAGACAGCCAGAGAGAGCGGGAGGGAGGAGGGCGGAGGAGGAGGAGCAGGAGGACUACGCGGGGCGCGUUCCCUCCCAGCAGCCGGGCGCCCGCGUCGCUGCCACCGCCGGAAGACAGACGUCCCCCAAAACCCCUCGCCUGGCUCGGACCCACGGAGCCGGCAGCCCAGCACUCCGAUGGGAGCUUGCCUGAUUGUCAACCCAUCGGCCUGGACCCCAGAGCCCACCCAGCUGAGCGUGUGCAGAGGGCCCCGAGUGCGGGGCGACGCUCAGGCCGUUGCAGAGACCACCCUGGAGAUGCUGAUGAAGACAGGCCUUUCCUGCUGAGCCCAGCCUAUCUUCGCAGCCUGCUCAGAAAGGGGAACUGAGGCUCAUGGAUAUACAGUGAGUCCUACCUCCUAGCCUGAGGACUCUUCCCUGCGCCUUGAUGACCUGAGAGAACUGGGAGGAGAAAGGGGUUGUGACAAUGACCAGGACUCAGGGCAGAGGUGGAAACCAGAGUGCCUGAUGUGUGCAGCUGCUGACCCCCCAGGACACCUCUCUACCGGAGUCUGUGGAAGCAGAGAACUGGGAGGCCAAGGUGAGGUGCUGGGAGGGCCUGGGUAGCCCAGGUAUGCUAAGGUGCCCUUGCAGGACAGGGAGGGGGCGGGGGCAGUGGCAGGACCCACCUCCCUACUCCUGGCCCAGGUUAGCCCACCCAGGCUCAGGAGCUGCAGAGCCAGGUGAAGCUGCCCUGCCCUGCAGAGGCAACUCCCUGAACUGACACAUGAAGCCUGCGGCUCCAGGAAGCUCCCUAGAGCUGAGCCUGCCUGGGGACCCCACCCUACUUCCAAAGGAGCAUUCCUGGGGCCUGAGGUCUGGGGGUGGAGUCUCCUGGGAUUGUAAGGGUGGGGAGGUACAGCUGUGGGAGGAUGCGAGGCUGUGUGUAUCCGAAUGUAAAUGUACAGGGCACUCAAGCUUGUGUGCAAGCAGGUGUGUGUGGAAGGCUCUGUCCUUCCAUGCACAUGGGGUAAUAUACAAGAGUUGUGUAAGUGGACUGGGCUGGGGAGCGUUCAAGGGCUGUGUAUGUGGUACACGGAAGUAUGAAUAUGCAGGAUUCUGGGUGUGUACUGGGCAGGUGUGGGGAUACUGUGUGUGCCACACUGGAUGGCGUGUGUGCAAGGGUGCUAGUGUACACUGGAGAGAUGUGUGUAUAGACAACAUCCGAAUACACUGCGAUGGUAUGGUGUAUGCACAUGGGGAUCUGUGUGUACACUGGCUAAGUGUGUGCUCAGGGUUCUGGGUACACAGUGGGAGUGAUGUGCACAUGUGGCUCCAUUUGUGCUUUGGAGGUGGGUUGGGCAAGCCUUGAGCUGAGCUGGGCUCAGCAGUGCCCAGCCUUGUGGCCAAAUCGCUGAAGUCACUUCCUUUCCAGCAGCAACUUUCCAGGAGGAGGAGUUCU
rnacentral:lncRNA from 1 species